GUACUUGCUUUGGCAGCACAUAUACUGAAAUUGGAAUGAUAAAGAAAAGAUAAGCAUGGCCCCUGCCCAAGGAUGACACACAAAUUUGUGAAGAAUUCCAUAUUAAA